UUUGGUGGCUUUUGCGAAGUGGCUACACCUCUUUCCAUUCCGAACAGAGCAGUUAAGCACUUCAGCGCUGAUGGUACCCUGAUUUAUUAGGGAAGAGUAAGCCACCGCCAGAA
rnacentral:rRNA from 1 species